UGAUAGAUUUUCUCCGGAUUCCUCUCAUUAAGUCUACGAUUGACUAUACUAUUUUCUAUAUCAUCAUGCUCUAUAACUCUUCCUUUGGAAACUUUUUAACACUCUUGACUUAAAAUGCAGCUUGGUCAUGGGACCCAGUUUUCAAUGAGCCAACCUCAUAUGGUUGUUUUGAUGGUUCCGUUGAACCUGGAUCGCCAGAUUUAGUGGGUUGUGUAGGUUCAAGGUUUUUCAUGUCUACGUGUUGGAGUGAUCACGGAAGUUUUGAAGUUAUUAUUUUGAGCAUCGCGGUGUUUAAAGACAUUUCAUAAGUGCAUAACCAUGGACAAUGGAUUUAGAGCAUGUGUGAUUGACUUUGAGGCUUGCUAUGGUUCUUUGAUGUUUCAUUUUUUUGUUGGGCCCGAGGUUGUGUUUGGAGAUAACUUGGUCUCAG